UAAAGUGCUUAAAAGGCGACGCUGCUGUGAAAAAAGGGGCCUUCUGCUGCUUGUCGGCUAGACGGUGCGGAUCGGAGAAGUCUUUCGACAAUGUCGCAGUCUCGCAGGCACCUUGCAGGCCAGAGUUUCUGCCAAAGUCAUCACGCCUACGGACUCAACUAGCAGUUAGAGGUCCUCCCGCUUCCGGUCUGUGGCCACAUGGACUGUUGUGGCAGACGGUGCACCAGCCUCAUGGGCCACUCGUUCGAGAUGGCCUGCUCAGUCGUGGCCUCUUCGAGGGACGGAUUUGGGCCAGGUCCCCGCACCUUUCCGGGGCUUGACAUCGAACAGCGUCACCCGACGGAUCCCGUAUACGGAGGAGCGCCGUAUUCUCUGUCCCGCCUCCCAAGUGCCCAACAUUCAUAGGAUAUCCCAUCGCAGAGGCACACUUCAUCGUAGAGUUGAAGCUGUUCGUGCUCCACGAGUUGCUCUGGAGCAUGUGCAAGCCAUGAUCGCCAGACAUCGUCCAGAUCUCCUACGACAGCCAGAAGCUCAACUUGAUGUGCCUCCCGAGCGCAUGGACAAUGUGCUGAUGUCAGUGGCGUAUCUAGGGUGUGGCAGGUGUGGACAGGUGCCAUGGGCGCCAGGUGAACAGGGGCGCCAUUAUGUGGUCGGGUGUGAAUGUGCCAGGUCGGGCACUCAACCUGGCACAUUCAUAAAUGAUCUAAAGCACCCGCCAUUAGAGAGGUUGUAGCGUGAAACCUAGUGCGGACCACACGAAAACGCAUCCCCAAGGACAUCAUGUUAACCAUGUUGCCAUGGGCGCAGGUAGCUCUAGAUACGCCACUGGCUGAUGUCUCCGAUGACCUCUGAAUGUGAAAAGCAGCCCUGACCGUGUUUGUCCCUUUGUUUUUGUGAACUCCCAAAAGGCUGUGUGACAGUUCGGUUUCGGACAAUCUAGUCCAUCUUAACUUAUCGUGAUCUCGGUACGUUCGCCACGUUCGACGUCGUACGGGAGGGUGUCUAGUUAUCUGGGCUUGUUUUGUGGCGCGAAGCGAGCGCCCUUGAAAUGCUUAAGAAGCGACGCUGUCGUGAACAAAGGGCCUGCUUACCAGCUAGACGGUGCGGAUCGGGAAAUUCUUUUGGUAUGGAAUAAACUAUUGUUUGCAUUGUA